UUUUUUUUUUUUUUUUUUUUUUUCCUU
rnacentral:ribozyme from 1 species